GGCAAAUUCCAGCCUGCUCUGCCUCCUUGGAAGGGCUGACCCUAGUGAACCUCCUGUUGCAAACUGUUGUCACGAAGGGCAGUGCUAAGAAAGUGAUUUCAUCAGGGAUGCACGAACCUGGUCCUGUGGCUGGGCUGGGCCAGGCCAGAGGCCCCACCCCAUGGCACACCUGAUCAGGUGGGUAUAAAACAGCCAACCAGCCUCAGCACUCACAGGAGCUUCUCUCUGGCAUCAUGCAUUCCAGUGGCCUCUUCUCCCUUCUGCUGCUCCUGGUCCUUGGGACCCUGGUGUCCGAGGCCUCAAAAGGUAUAACCCCUUCUAAAGGGCAUCAUCAUCAAGCAUCCAAGAAUCAAGUCAUGAAGAGCCCUACCAAGCCUCACCCUGUAUCUAAGAGUCCUUCUCCAGCCAAGCCCCUUGGUUCAAACAAGAUCUCUUCUUCUUCACCCAAGGUUCAUCCUAAACCCAAAAGCCUAACUUCUUGGAAGUCAGAUUAAGUUCUUAUGUGAAGACCAUGGAGUGCUAGAGCUGAAGCAUCAUCUUUCCCUCAAGUCCCUACCCUGAGAUUUCUCCUUUGGACCUCUGAAUGGGAGAGAUUGUCUCCCUUCCUGGGUCUUUUCUUCCAAACACCAAUAAAGGCACAACAUUCCCCUGC
rnacentral:lncRNA from 1 species